GCUCCGUAGGUGAACCUGCGGAGGGAUCAUUACAGAGUUCAUGCCCUCACGGGUAGAUCUCCCACCCUGUGUUAUUAUACUUUGUUGCUUUGGCAGGCCGCCCGCGUGGGCUACCGGCUCCAGCUGGUAAGUGCCUGCCAGAGGACCCCAAACUCUCAAUAUUCUAUUGUCUGAGUACUAUAUAAUAGUUUAAACUUUCAACAACGGAUCUCUUGGUUCUG
rnacentral:misc_RNA from 1 species